AGCGAACGCUGGCGGCAAGCUUAACACAUGCAAGUCGAACGGAUGUAGCAAUACAUUAGUGGCGCACGGGUGCGUAACACGUGGGAAUCUGCCUUUAGGUAAGGAAUAACUCAGGGAAACUUGAGCUAACACCUUAUAAUGUCUUCGGACCAAAUAUUUAUAGCCUAGAGAUGAGCCCGCGGUAGAUUAGCUAGUUGGUGGGGUAAUGGCCUACCAAGGCAACGAUCAUAGCUGGUCUGAGAGGAUGACCAGCCACACUGGGACUGAGACACGGCCCAGACUCCUACGGGAGGCAGCAGUGGGGAAUAUUGGGCAAUGGACGCAAGUCUGACCCAGCUAUGCCGCGUGAAUGAUGAAGGCCUUAGGGUCGUAAAGUUCUUUUACCAGGGAAGAUGAUGACGGUACCUGGAAGAAAAGCUCCGGCUAACUUCGUGCCAGCAGCCGCAGUAAU
rnacentral:rRNA from 1 species